UCUGGUUGAUCCUGCCAGUAGUUAUAUGCUUGUCUCAAAGAUUAAGCCAUGCAUGUCUAAGUACACACGAAUUAAAAGUGAAACCGCAAAAGGCUCAUUAUAUCAGUUAUGGUUCCUUAGAUCGUUAACAGUUACUUGGAUAACUGUGGUAAUUCUAGAGCUAAUACAUGCAAUUAAAACACGGACCUUAUGGGACGUGUGCUUUUAUUAGGCUAAAACCAAGCGAUCGUAAGAUCGUUACAUUGGUUGAACUCUAGAUAACAUGCAGAUCGUAUGGUCUUGUACCGACGACAGAUCUUUCAAAUGUCUGCCCUAUCAACUUUUGAUGGUAGUAUCUAGGACUACCAUGGUUGCAACGGGUAACGGGGAAUCAGGGUUCGAUUCCGGAGAGGGAGCCUGAGAAACGGCUACCACAUCUAAGGAAGGCAGCAGGCGCGUAAAUUACCCACUCCCAGCUCGGGGAGGUAGUGACGAAAAAUAACAAUACAGGACUCAUAUCCGAGGCCCUGUAAUUGGAAUGAGUACACUUUAAAUCCUUUAACAAGGACCAAUUGGAGGGCAAGUCUGGUGCCAGCAGCCGCGGUAAUUCCAGCUCCAAUAGCGUAUAUUAAAGUUGUUGCGGUUAAAACGUUCGUAGUUGAACUUGUGCUUCAUACGGGUAGUACAACUUACAAUUGUGGUUACUACUAUACCUUUAUGUAUGUAAGCGCAUUACCGGUGGAGUUCUUAUAUAUAAUUAAGUACUUGUAUUUUUUUAUAUAUUCCUCCUAUUUAAAAACCUGCAUUAGUGCUCUUCAUCGAGUGUUAUUGUGGGCCGGUACAAUUACUUUUGAACAAAUUAGAGUGCUUAAAGCAGGCUUCAAAUGCCUGAAUAUUUCUGUGCAUGGGAUAAUGAAAUAAGACCUCUGUUCUGCUUUCAUUGGGUUUCAGAUCAAGAGGUAAUGAUUAAUAGAAGCAGUUUGGGGGCAUUAGUAUUACGACGCGAGAGGUGAAAUUCUUGGACCGUCGUAAGACUAACUU
rnacentral:rRNA from 1 species